AUGUUAGAGAAUAGCAUUAGGUCAGCUAGACUAGAGGAUGUUAGAGAAUAGCAUUAGGUCAGUUAGACUAGAGGAUGUUAGAGAAUAGCAUUAGGUCAGCUAGACUAGAGGAUGUUAGAGAAUAGCAUUAGGUCAGUUAGACUAGAGGAUGUUAGAGAAUAGCAUUAGGUCAGUUAGACUAGAGGAUGUUAGAGAAUAGCAUUAGGUCAGUUAGACUAGAGGAUGUUAGAGAAUAGCAUUAGGUCAGCUAGACUAGACGAUGUUAGAGAAUAGCAUUAGGUCAGCUAGACUAAACGAUGUUAGAGAAUAGCAUUAGGUCAGUUAGACUAGAGGAUGUUAGAGAAUAGCAUUAGGUCAGUUAGACUAGAGGAUGUUAGAGAAUAGCAUUAGGUCAGCUAGACUAGACGAUGUUAGAGAAUAGCAUUAGGUCAGCUAGACUAAACGAUGUUAGAGAAUAGCAUUAGGUCAGUUAGACUAGAGGAUGUUAGAGAAUAGCAUUAGGUCAGUUAGACUAGACGAUGUUAGAGAAUAGCAUUAGGUCAGCUAGACUAGAGGAUGUUAGAGAAUAGCAUUAGGUCAGUUAGACUAGAGGAUGUUAGAGAAUAGCAUUAGGUCAGCUAGACUAGAGGAUGUUAGAGAAUAGCAUUAGGUCAGUUAGACUAGACGAUGUUAGAGAAUAGCAUUAGGUCAGCUAGACUAGAGGAUGUUAGAGAAUAGCAUUAGGUCAGCUAGACUAGAGGAUGUUAGAGAAUAGCAUUAGGUCAGUUAGACUAGAGGAUGUUAGAGAAUAGCAUUAGGUCAGUUAGACUAGAGGAUGUUAGAGAAUAGCAUUAGGUCAGCUAGACUAGAGGAUGUUAGAGAAUAGCAUUAGGUCAGCUAGACUAGAGGAUGUUAGAGAAUAGCAUUAGGUCAGCUAGACUAGACGAUGUUAGAGAAUAGCAUUAGGUCAGCUAGACUAGAGGAUGUUAGAGAAUAGCAUUAGGUCAGUUAGACUAGAGGAUGUUAGAGAAUAGCAUUAGGUCAGUUAGACUAGAGGAUGUUAGAGAAUAGCAUUAGGUCAGCUAGACUAGACGAUGUUAGAGAAUAGCAUUAGGUCACCUAGACUAGAGGAUGUUAGAGAAUAGCAUUAGGUCAGCUAGACUAGAGGAUGUUAGAGAAUAGCAUUAGGUCAGCUAGACUAGAGGAUGUUAGAGAAUAGCAUUAGGUCAGCUAGACUAGACGAUGUUAGAGAAUAGCAUUAGGUCAGCUAGACUAGAGGAUGUUAGAGAAUAGCAUUAGGUCAGCUAGACUAGAGGAUGUUAGAGAAUAGCAUUAGGUCAGCUAGACUAGAGGAUGUUAGAGAAUAGCAUUAGGUCAGCUAGACUAGAGGAUGUUAGAGAAUAGCAUUAGGUCAGCUAGACUAGACGAUGUUAGAGAAUAGCAUUAGGUCAGCUAGACUAGAGGAUGUUAGAGAAUAGCAUCAGGUCAGCUAGACUAGAGGAUGUUAGAGAAUAGCAUUAGGUCAGUUAGACUAGACGAUGUUAGAGAAUAGCAUUAGGUCAGCUAGACUAGAGGAUGUUAGAGAAUAGCAUUAGGUCACCUAGACUAGACGAUGUUAGAGAAUAGCAUUAGGUCAGUGUGGAAGGACCACUAGAGGGCAGGCUGGGCUCAUGGAUAGUAGCCCAACAAAGCAUGGGAGACAAGGUAACCAGAGUCAA